UACGGGGGGGGGCAAGCGUUGUUCGGAAUUACUGGGCGUAAAGGGCUCGUAGGCGGCCAACUAAGUCAGACGUGAAAUCCCUCGGCUUAACCGGGGAACUGCAUCUGAUACUGGAUGGCUUGAGUUGGGAGAGGGAUGCGGAAUUCCAGGUGUAGCGGUGAAAUGCGUAGAUAUCUGGAGGAACACCAAUGGCGAAGGCAGCUCACUGGGACGGUAUUGACGCUGAGACGCGAAAAGCGUGGGGGAGCAAACAGG
rnacentral:rRNA from 1 species